UACGGAGGGGGCUAGCGUUGUUCGGAAUUACUGGGCGUAAAGCGCACGUAGGCGGCUUUGUAAGUUAGAGGUGAAAGCCCGGGGCUCAACUCCGGAAUUGCCUUUAAGACUGCAUCGCUAGAAUUGUGGAGAGGUAAGUGGAAUUCCGAGUGUAGAGGUGAAAUUCGUAGAUAUUCGGAAGAACACCAGUGGCGAAGGCGACUUACUGGACACAUAUCGACGCUGAGGUGCGAAAGCGUGGGGAGCAAACAGG
rnacentral:rRNA from 1 species